UUGGGAAUUGCAUCUGAAACUGGUUGGCUAGAGUCUUGUAGAGGGGGGUAGAAUUCCAUGUGUAGCGGUGAAAUGCGUAGAGAUGUGGAGGAAUACCGGUGGCGAAGGCGGCCCCCUGGACAAAGACUGACGCUCAGGUGCGAAAGCGUGGGGAGCAAACAGGAUUAGAUACCCUGGUAGUCCACGCUGUAAACGAUGUCGAUUUAGAGGUUGUGGUCUUGAACCGUGGCUUCUGGAGCUAACGCGUUAAAUCGACCGCCUGGGGAGUACGGCCGCAAGGUUAAAACUCAAAUGAAUUGACGGGGGCCCGCACAAGCGGUGGAGCAUGUGGUUUAAUUCGAUGCAACGCGAAGAACCUUACCUACUCUUGACAUCCAGCGAAUCCUUUAGAGAUAGAGGAGUGCCUUCGGGAACGCUGAGACAGGUGCUGCAUGGCUGUCGUCAGCUCGUGUUGUGAAAUGUUGGGUUAAGUCCCGCAACGAGCGCAACCCU
rnacentral:rRNA from 1 species